rnacentral:lncRNA from 1 species
AUGAGAUCAAGUAAGUUUCCUGAUGUUGCACAUGUGCUGAGGGGGGUGUACAUGUUGAUAGAUUUCAGCUUGCCCCUUCACCUCCCCUCGUGUGUCCCUUUGUCCCCCUGUGCCCUCAUGGUCACCCCAGGGGCUGGCUCAGUGCCCACGCAGCUCCAGGAGGCCAUAACCCCAGCCCUGCUUACUCUCUACAACCCAACCCUGGGAGAUCUGUUCUCACCCCAAUUGGAUGACCUCCUUCCCCAGUACUCUCAAUUCCACCCCAAGAGGCUCCCCUGCUUCCCUCAGGGAGCCCCAGGCCCCGUGGAAAUAGUCUUGGCUAGGCCCCAGGAGGACGAGGCCAUAUGUGAUUCGUCCUUUCAAACGGCCACGCUUCCUGCAGGGCUGAGAGCCAGGAGGCCCCACGAGGCAGCUCGGGCCCAGCCACGUGAGGCCCCUUCCCCUCCCGCUGCCCCAGGCCCCGCUGACUCAGAGCCUGGCAGCUGCAGUCACCACCCACUCGGAGGGGAGUGUGUGCCAGUGUGGGCUGUGGGCUGUAGGCUGGGUGGGGCGGAGACAACCCUUGCGGCACUGCCUGGAACCCACACAAAUGCCCUGAUUCCACGUGGCCGUGGACCUCCUUGUCUAAACAUCCUUUCUGCACCACCAACAGUUUCGUUGCCUCUGGAAAGUAGGGGGCCUGUUCAAUUCCAAGGAUAAAGACUUCUUAGAAAUCAUAAAUCUUCUAGAUGGUUGUGAGCUGUCGUCAGUGGAGGGACCCAAGCCAGUGACGUAAGCCAAUUAACUCCAAAGAGUUACUUUAACUCUUUUAAGAAUCUGACUUGAGGAAGACAUUAAGACUAAUAUUUCAAUGUAGGAGAGUCCAAACCCAGGCUGGGUCUAUGGCGCGUGAACCCCUGCUCCUGCCACGGCACGGCGUGGAGGCUCAGCACUUGACAGUUAUCAGAGCUCUUUGCUAUAUAUGACAAUCAAAUUUUCUAGCUAAGAGAGAGAAAUUAAAAUUUACCAAUUUUGAUAAGAAUGUGGAGCAACACACCUCUCCAGACACUGCUGGUGGGAAAGUAAGUUGGUAAAUCAACCGUGGAGAAGUGUGGAAAUUCCUAAAGCUGAACACACACACCACACCUAGCAAUUCUCUCCUGGGUAUGUUCCCAGCACAAUUUGAAGUAGUCCCAAAUAAUCCAUCAAGGGCAGAAUGAAAAUGUUCUAUGUCUGGCUUAUGGUGAUGGUUACACAACUGUAUGCAUUCGUCAAAACUCACAGAACUGUACGCUCAGAAGGGUGAAUUUUAUUGCAUAUAUGUUAUACCUUAAUUUUUUUAAAUUUAAAAACGAGAAGAAAAAGGAGUAGAAUGAAUAAUUCAUUUAGGAGUAUGGCCAUAUAAUGGACAUACAGCAGUGAACUAGAAUAAACUCCUGCUGAAGGAAAAUGGAUGCA